GAUGAACGCUGGCGGCGUGCCUAAUUCAUGCAAGUCUAUUGAACAGACGAGGAGCUUGCUCCUCUGACGUUAGCUGCGGAAGGGUGAGUAACACGUGGCUAACCUACCUAUACGACUGGGAUAACUUCGGGAAACCGGAGCUAAUACCUGAUCAUAUAUUGAACCGCAUGGUUCAAUAGUGAAAGCCGGUUUUCCUGUCCCUUAUAGAUGGACCCGCGCCGCAUUAGCUAGUUGGUAAGGUAACGGCUUACCAAGGCAACGAUGCGUAGCCGACCUGAGAGGGUGAUCGAGCACACUGGAACUGAGAAACGGUCCAGACUCCUACGGGAGGCAACGGUCAGGAAUCUUGAGCAAUGGGCGAAAGCCUGAAGGUACAACUGGGCAAAAGGGAGGAGGGGCUUCGGAUGAUAAAACACUGUUAGUAGGGAAGAACAAAUGUGUAAGUAAAUAUGCACGUGUUGACGGUACCUAAUCAGAAAGCCGGGGAUAACUACGAG
rnacentral:rRNA from 1 species